rnacentral:rRNA from 2 species
CACGCCCUAAACGAUGUCGACUAGUUGUUCGGGAAGGUGACUUCUUGAGUAACGUAGCUAACGCGUGAAGUCGACCGCCUGGGGAGUACGGCCGCAAGGUUAAAACUCAAAGGAAUUGACGGGGACCCGCACAAGCGGUGGAUGAUGUGGAUUAAUUCGAUGCAACGCGAAAAACCUUACCUACCCUUGACAUGUCUGGAAGUCUGCAGAGAUGCGGAUGUGCCUUCGGGAACCAGAACACAGGUGC